UGGGGAAUAUUGGACAAUGGGCGAAAGCCUGAUCCAGCAAUGCCGCGUGAGUGAUGAAGGCCUUAGGGUUGUAAAGCUCUUUUACCCGGGAUGAUAAUGACAGUACCGGGAGAAUAAGCUCCGGCUAACUCCGUGCCAGCAGCCGCGGUAAUACGGAGGGAGCUAGCGUUAUUCGGAAUUACUGGGCGUAAAGCGCACGUAGGCGGCUUUGUAAGUUAGAGGUGAAAGCCUGGAGCUCAACUCCAGAACUGCCUUUAAGACUGCAUCGCUUGAAUCCAGGAGAGGUGAGUGGAAUUCCGAGUGUAGAGGUGAAAUUCGUAGAUAUUCGGAAGAACACCAGUGGCGAAGGCGGCUCACUGGACUGGUAUUGACGCUGAGGUGCGAAAGCGUGGGGAGCAAACA
rnacentral:rRNA from 2 species